CUACGGGCGGCUCCAGUGAGGAAUCUUCCACAAUGGACGAAAGUCUGAUGGAGCGACACCGCGUGAAGGAUGAAGGCCUAACGGUUGUAAACUUCUUUUCUGAAGGAGCAUAAUGAGAGUACUUCAGGAAUAAGGGACGGCUAAAUACGUGCCAGCAGCCGCGGUAAUACGUAUGUCUCAAGCGUUACCCGGAAUCACUGGGUGUAAAGGGUUCGUAGGUGGAUUUUUAAGUCAGGUAUGAAAGACCGGAGCUCAACUCCGAGUUUGUGCUUGAAACUGGAAAUCUAGAAUCAGGGAGAGGUAAGCGGAAUUCUAAGUGUAGGGGUGCAAUCCGUAGAUACUUAGAGGAACACCAAAAGCGAAGGCAGCUUACUGGAACUGUAUUGACGCUCAUGAACGAAAGCGUGGGGAGCGAAAAGGAUUAGAUACCCGGGUAGUC
rnacentral:rRNA from 1 species